CCCAGGGCAGUGCGCGCCCGCGGGGUGGCCGGGAAAGGGCGCCCCUUUCCCUCUUCUGACUGCACGGAAAGAAAGGAGAGAAGUGACCCCGAGUCGGGUCCCUGAGCUUUGGGGCUCCCUGUGCCCGCUGUGGCGGAGAGGAGCGAGUUUCCUGCACAGCAGGCGGGCCGGAGCCGCUGCGUGCUGGGCGCCCCGGUGCACUGACCUGGGAGGGACGGAGCCUGUGCUCUAGGCGUCUCCCCAACUCGGCCCGCAGCUUUGAACUUGGCGCCUCGGUGGCUUUCUGGCCAGCCCCGCUCUGGAACCUGGGAACACCUCCACCCAGAGGACAGCUGCUGAACUCCCAGCUGGAGUGCUCCCCAAGUUGUGUGACAAUUGGGGACACCUGUUGGCAAUGGAUUGGUGGCAGCGACCUUUUGUUGACAAUCCAUAUAGUCUCUCUCCAUGAUACUUUUACCCAUUCAACGAGGUGCGCAGAUGUUGUGGACCCUGAGAAAGAAGACACCUACCAAGAAGAGGCUCUGGUGGCUAACUGAGCUCAAAUUUAAAAGCGGAGCAUAGCUGCUGUUUCUAAACAGAGGCCUCUUAUGCGAGCCAUGUCCCUGCCAUCUGAGCCAGCCCUUAUAAAGGAGUUCCUGGAAUUGUAUUUCGACCAAGAAGACUGAGACUUUCCCCGUCCAGGUCCUGUCAAAGCUGUGCAGCUAUAUCCCAAUCAGGAUCUUCAUCGACCAAUCAGAGUGGCUCCAUUCUGACCAAUCAGGACAGUGCCUUUUGGACCAAUUAAACUUCGAGGAUUUGCAGUCCUCGUUUACAUGACGAUGGACCAGUCGGGGACCAAGGUCGGGGCGUCUCUCUCAACAAGUCAGCCCCACCUUCCCUUUCCACGGAAGACUGUUCCCCUGGCUGGAGCUGAGACACGGAAGACGGGCACUGAAGACGUGUUGCUGGACCAGACAGGAGCAGGUGGAGCCGAGCAGAGCUGCCAGCAGGACGGGCCUCGCCCAGGGCCGCCUCGCAGCCCUGCGGCCGCACAGCCGCGCUGCUUCCUAACUUCUUCACGGCGCCCCAAAUCAGGGAUUCCUGUUGGCGUCAAGUUGGAGCCAACAGCUGUCGGUUGACAAUGUCAUUAAAUGUUCAUCUCAUCAGGCGGCCUGGAGCCACGGGGGAGCCUGGGCUUUGGGGUCAGACUGACGGGCUUUGGGCUCUGGCUUUACCACAGUUCCUGUUGACCUUGGGCGACUCAUUUCACCUCUGGGGGUCUUGGUGCCUUCAUGCCUACAUGGGGACCAUGGGAAUAUCGUCCCCUGCUUGCUGCGUGCUCACCCCGAGUUCUUUCUUUACUAUUCCAGGCAUCAAGCCCACCCCCAACUCUGAGGCUAAAAAUAAUGGGACUACAAAGAUCACGAAAGUCUUAGGAAACAGUAAGUGGGAUUCUGCGUGGAGACACUGAUACAAAGGUGAAGGUUACUUGGGGGCAGAAGAGGUAAUUCUAGUGCGAGCUUUGUGGGGCAUCAGGGCCGUGGACCUGGGCUCUCGUCGCGGUUCUGCCGUGGUGGGCGGUCUUGGCCGAGGUUUUCCCCUCGAGCUGUAGUGUUCUCAUGUUGUGAGGCUGCUGUGGAGAUUCGGGAUGCAGAAACCUCCUGCCCCCCUGCCCCUCACACUCACAAAUAUUUGCUGGAUGUUGAAUGACGAGGUAGUAAGCAUUUAUGAAAGGGGGCUAUCUCUCUGUGCCUCAAUUUCUUUAUCUGAAGAAGGAAAUUGCCAUUUUUGAUUCUGUGUUCCUUGUGAUUUAGGUAAACAGGUUUUUCCCUUUUGGGGGUUUGCUGUGUUCCAGGGACUAAACUUUCAGAAGGUAACUCUACAGCUUGGGCCGGCUCUGAGGCGCUCACAGAGGCUGCCAGACACCAGCGUUUGUUGGCAGGGCAGCCCAGCAUGUCCUGCCCAGCGAGGUGCCGCCUGACCGGGGCGGGGGAGGGGGCUUCUCCGGGAGGACAGAUGGCAGUCCUUGGCCUGACACUGACUCCUGAGCGAAAACCCGAGGGACACCUCCCUCCAGACAGGAGGAAACCCAGUUCUGUGCUCUGAGAGCCAAGGCUCCCAUCCAAGGACACUCCUAAAAUCGCGGCCACAGGAGGAGGCCCCGCCCAGGGAGCUAGCUGCUGCCGACAUUCCUCCUCCUCUAAAAACGGCUUCUUCCUUUUGAAAACCCGACUCAAGCUUGUUCCAGGCAGCUUGGGAGCCGUGCCACCUGACCUCCCUUCACCUCACUGAUGUCACCCUCUUAUCCUCUCAUUCUCCUUUCCUCCUCCCUUCUUGCGAGGAGAAAACCAUUUGGCGCUGUCACCUGAAAGUGACAGGCGAAGUUCCUGAAAAGCCAUGGGCUGUUCAGUUCCUGCUCCUCAGGGGGUUCCCGGAGCUUCGCUUCUCUCGACCUAGAAUGGUAUGUCCGGUAAUGCACGGCCUCUGCACGAGUCCUGGGGGCCAUGCUGUGUAAAUGGGGUCUCCUGGGGCUGAGGGCAGCUGGAGCACCUGACACGGCCAGUGCCAGCAUCUCACGUUGUCCUCACGACAUCCUGCAGGACAGGUGUUGCUGCCCUCAGGCUGCAGGGAAGGGAGCUGCAGGGAAGGGAGCUGCUGCAGAAUCGACCAGGCACAACACUGCAAGACCUGUGAGCGGCGAGCCAGCUUUGCUCUCUGUCGGCCCGACUCCCAGCUCACGCUGCCCAUCACACCCCAUCCUCCAGCGUUUAACUUUUAAAACCCAACUUCAGCCCCUCACCCACGGGCCAUCUCCGAUCAUGUGUGUGCAAAAGGGCAUGCCUGUGGAAAAGUAACUGCCAGCACGAGCCGUGGCAGAUGUCCCAUCUGGGAGACCUGGCGUCUGGUCGCCACGCUGCCACUCCAGCUGUGUGUGUGAACUUCGGAGUCACUGCCUGUCUGUGAAGUCACUGGCCUCAGCUUCGUCUGUUUGCCAAGAGAGCUGCCUGGCCUGAGUGAUUUCCAGGGUGGUCCCAUCCUGCUGAAGUCUUUGGGCCAAACAGCCUGAUUUAUUGAUCCUGCUGUAGUGAGUUCCAGCUCACAGCUGGCUGGGGCGUAGCUGCCCACAGAAAAGAGUUGUGUGGUGUGUUUCUGGAAGGCUGGCCUGGCCGUAGCUGGAAAGCGUCGAGAUUUUGAGAUAUGAGGUCCGCAUGCCUCCACACUUGGUGCCUCCUGGGCCGCCUCAGCUGUGACAUGGGGACAGCACAGCCAUCGAGUGCAGCCUAUGUCGGGAAAGUAGUGGGAGCGAACGGAGCAGCAUGGCUGCUGGGGCCGCCUGGAGUGAUCGGCCGGUCUGGUCCGAAGCGGUGGCCCCUGAUCCUGAGCACAGCUGGGGACAGCUGAGGCUUCCUCCGUUUUAUAGAUAAGAAGACAGAAACUCAGCAAGUGUCAUCAUUAGGCCAUGGUUCAAGAGCCUGGCUGGGAGCCCGGGCUGGCCUCCGCAAGCUGGGCACUCUGGGGCACAGGCAACGUUUGAGGUGGUGGCCCGGUGUUCAAGUUUAAUGGUUACAUUUUUUAAUUUUGCAGUAUGUUAAGAAAAUAUAACAUACAAAACUU